rnacentral:lncRNA from 1 species
GAAAAAGGUACAUAACAACUAAACAACAUAAAGGCAACAUAAACAUAAAUCAAAGUGCAUAGGAUAUGACAUGAAAAUAAAUUAUAUGUAACAUAUAAUUAUUUUACAUAUUAAUGGUUAAUAAUCCAACCACAAACAAAAUAAGUUAACGCACAACAAGUAUUGUUCAGGAAUGUUACACCCAAUUUUGUGGUUAUUUACUCGACAAUGAAUGUGACUGUUGCAUGAAACAAACACUGCAAUGUAAAAUAACAUUAAAGUAUUUUUAUUAAAAGAGUAUGAAAUAUUGUGUCUAAUAUAAAUAAGAAAAUGAGAAAAUAAUGUCGAAAAUUACUUACCGCCAUUGGUUACAUGGAGAUAUGUAUAAAGGAAGAUUAUCAGAGCAAAAAAAACUUUGAAAUGUGAGUCAUUGUUUUGAAAAAUUUUAAAGAGAUCGUUUUUGUAAAAUGAUAUGAACUUGGCGUGAUUUUGUGAUUUCAUGGAAUUGGCCUAGGAUACUUGUAUGCCUAAGAUACAAUGGAUUAACCAUUUUAUAAGUAAAAGUUUAUUGCUUGAAUUGACAUCAAUUAAAUAAAUUAAAGCUAUUGUUAAAUGGCUCUAAGGUAUAUCAGUGUGCCAAGUUUAUCCUUUAGCGCACUCAAUUAACCAGUUAAGCAUAAUAAAGAUCUCAAAUAAAAAAAAAUUAAGCCCAUAAAAAAUUUAGUAGAUUUUUUUAUUUUUUAGCCUAUCAUGAUAGAGAGGGGACAAAAUACCCAAAGAUAAAUAAUGGCAAGGUAAUUAAAAUCGGAUCGAACCAUCUGGUUUAACUAGUUGAACCGGGAACCGGACCUAUGUCUGGUCUGAAAUAAAAAGAAAACGGGUGUUGCAACGAACCGGGAAACCAGAUAAUAAAGAUUUGUUGUGCAUAAAAAUUAAAUAACAGUAAAUAAAUAUUGUUUGGAAAAGUUAUGGAGAGAGAUGAGACUAGGUCUUCCGAAUCAUUUGAUUUUCCUUAAUUGGUACACUACACCUACUUCUCAUGAAUAUUUUUUUAGUUUUAUGAUGAUUAACUAAAAUAGCCCUAAUCAAUCCCUUGACUUAGGACCCUCUUCUCAGAUUACAACCCCUAAAUCCUUAGGUGAUCUAAUAUUCUUUGAAGGUUUGAAGAAUGUUAACCUAAUAUCACAAAUACUUGAUUGAGGUGUAUUGUUUUGAAAAAUGUCAAAAAGAUUGUUUUUGUAAAAUGAUACGAACUUGGCGUGAUUUUGUGAUUUCUUGGAAUUGGCCUUGAAUACUUGUCUGCCUAAGCUACUAUGGAUUAACCAUUUUAUAAGUAAAAGUUUAUUGCUUUACCAACAUCAAUUAAAUAUAUUUUAACACUAAAGAGGUGAAAAAUUGUUUACUAUAUUAAAGUUAUUGUUAAAUGGCUCUAAGGUAUAUCAGUGUGCCAAGUUUAUCCUUUGGCGCACUCAAUUAACCAUUUAAGCAUAAUAAGGAUCUCAAAUAAAAAAUUUAAACCCGGCAAAAAUUUAGUAGAUUUUUUAUUUUUUAGCCUAUCAUGAUAGAGAGGGGACAAAAUACCCAAAUAUAAAUAAUGGCAAGGUAAUUAAAAUCGGAUCGAACCAUCUGGUUUGACUCGUUGAACUAGGAACCAGAACUAUGUCUGGUCUGAAAUACAAAGAAAACUGGUGUCGCAACGAACCGGGAAACCAGAUAAAAACUGGAUGAACCGGGAAAACCAGCGGGCUACACGGUUUGGCAGGUUGAACCGCAUUUUACAAUUUUUUUGAAAAAAAAUCUCAAACCAGAUUUGUUAUGCCAUAAGUCUGAACUAAGAAAAGUUAUGGUGGUUUUAUAGCAAGAAGACAUAAAUCUAAGUAGAAUAAAAAUAUAGAGGAGACCAUGAAAUGGAGAUCUUGGAGAAAAAACGAAAAGGAUAAUCAUAGUUGGUGGGUUGCGUUGCUGCUAUUUAGAAAUUAGGGUUAGUGUGACAUUUAUACUUAUAAUAACUGAUAGACUUUUAGAAGGUGUACUAAAACUAUUGAACUAAUACAAUUAAUGUUGUUUCCAUGAGAACAAUAUUAAUCUCAAGUAAACGAUAGCAUUAUGAAAUAGGAUGUGUAAAGUUAUUUAGUGCCUGAGACAGUAGAUUUGUUGUGCAUAAAAAUUAAAUAACAGAAAAUAAAGAUUGUUUGGAAAAGUUAUGGAGAGAGAUGAGACUAGGUCUUUCGAAUACUUUGAUUUCCCCUAAUUGAUACACUACACCUAUUUCUCAUGAAUAUUUCUCUAGUUUUACGAUGAUUAACUAAAAUAGCUCUAAUCAAUCCCUUGACUUAGGACCCUCUUCUCAGAUUACGAUCCCUAAUUCCUUAGGUGAUCUAAUAUACUUUAAAGGUUUGAAUAACGUUAACCUAAUAUCACAAAUACUUGAUUGAGGUGUAUUGUUUUGAAAAAUGUCAAAAAGAUCGUUUUUGUAAAAUGAUACGAACUUGGCGUGAUUUUGUGAUUUCUUGGAAUUGGCCUAGGAUACUUGUAUGCCUAAGCUACUAUGGAUUAACCAUUUUAUAAGUAAAAGUUUAUUUCUCUAUUGACAUCAAUUAAAUAUAUUUUAACACUAAAGAGGUGAAAAGUUGUUUAUUAAAUUAAAGUUAUUGUUAAAUGGCUCUAAGGUAUAAUAAUGUGUCAAGUUUAUCCUUUAGCGCACUCAAUUAACAAGUUAAGCAUAAUAAAGAUCUCAAAUAAAAAAAUUUAAGCCCGUCAAAAAUUUAGUAGAUUUUUUUUAUUUUUUAGCCUAUCAUGAUUGAGAGGGGACAAGAUACCCAAAUAUAAAUAAUGGCAAGGUAAUUAAAAUCGGAUCGGACCAUCUGGUUUGACUAGUUGAACCGGGAACUGGAACUAUGUCUGGUCUGAAAUACAAAGAAAAUUGGUGUCGCAACGAACCAGGAAACCAGAUGAACCGGGAAAACCGGCGGGCUACACAGUUUUGCAGGUUGAACUGCAUUUUUAAAAUUUUUUGAAAAAAUAACUCAAACCAGAUUUGUUAUGUCAUAAGUCUGAACUAAGAAAAGAUAUGGUGGUUUUAUAGCAAAAGGACAUAAAUCUAAGUAGAAUACAAAUACAGAUGAGACCCUGAAAUGGAGAUCUUGGAGAAAAAAUGAAAAGGAUAAUUGUAACGCCCUAUUUUAAUAUUUAUUUAUUUUAUUGAGUUUAGGUGUCUUUCCAUAAUUUAGUCGAUUUAUUCUGAUGGGUGAUAUUUUGUUAUGUUAUAUGUUGGUAUUUAUUAGUAUAAUAUAUAUGUUAUUUGGUGUAGAAAUAUAUAUAUAUUAUCUGGUGUAGAAAUAUAUAUGUUAUUUGGUGUAGAAAUAUAUAUAUUAUCUUGUGUAGAAAUAUAUAUGUUAUGUGGUGUAGAAAUAUUAUGUUAUUUGGUGUAGAAAUAUAUGUUAUCUGGUGUAGAAAUAUAUUUCUUAUUUGGUGUAGAAAUAUAUAUAUAUAUAUAUAUAUAUAUAUAUAUAUAUAUAUAUAUAUAUAUAUAUGAGGGCAAAUUUAGAAAUAAGAGAACAUAAGUAGGUUAAUGAUUUUUAUAAAAGGGCAGAUUUGGAAAUAAGAGAAAAUAAGUAGGUUAAUGAAAGUUAGAAUUAGAAAAUAAGGAUUACGUGAAACUGCUUUUGAGAGAAAAGCGUGAAAGUGAGAAGUCAAGAGAAGAGAAGAGUCAGAGAAGAGAAAGUGGUAGAAUCUUGUAGAGUCCGAUCAUCUAAUCUAAGGUAAGGGUGGGACUAAAUUUCUCUAAUUCUAAGUUGUAUAAUUCUGAAAUUGAGUUUAGCAUGUUGUAGGUUGUAGUUAUGGAAAUUUGGGAAUUAGGUUUGAAGUUGUAAUUGGUUGUUAAUAGAGUAGAAAAUCCGUUGAAUUUGUGUAGAAGUGAUGUUUAGAUCAUGGGUUAUUUUUAGUGCAAUCUUUUAUAUGGUUUUGAGUGCCUUAACAUGUAUAGAAAUGGUUCGACAUGUUUUUUGGAUCAAAUUUGGGCAUAGGGAAGUUAAAAUUGGGAUUUUGGGGUGAAAAGUGGGUUUUUCCCGAGUUGCUCUCUGACAGCACGUCCUGUUUCAUGUUCUUGCGUCUUUUUCACACGUUUCUGUUUUGAAUUGGCCUUUGGUGUAAACAUGAAAGUUGUAGAUAAUUGAGUUAGCUUUCCAGUGGCUUUGAUUUGACGAGAAAAUGAUUUUUGGUUCUUGAGAUAUGAUGAAAAUACUCCAAGGAGGUUUUAGUGAAAUCUUAUGAAAAUUCAGCAUAACCGUUUCUAAUUUAAUCCAAAACUUAAGGAAUAAUUCCAAACCUCAAAACUAGAAGUACUAUGAGUUCAACUAGGGUGUUUAAGAUUAUUUAAGCUAUGUUGUGAUGGAUCUAAUUUGGUUUGACGUGAAUAUCUUUGUUGGAUAAUUUGAAAUACAUAUAUUAUGUGAAUGUUGUUGUUGAAUAAUUUGAGUUACAUAUAUUUAUGUGGAAAAGGUAUGAUAUAGAAAAUAAUGUUGUUAUACCAUUCAAGUUGUUAUUAUUAAUGAUGCUAUGUUGUGAAGUUGGUGUAUGUGUUUGUCUCUACUGUAUUGAUUAUUAAAUCAUUAAGUUGCAUAUGUUGGUCAAGUUGUUAAAGUUGUAAGUUGUUGUCAAUGUAGUUAAAGUUGUAAGUUGUUAUCGAUGUCGUUGAAGUUGUUAGUUGUCGUUGCAUUAGUUGUUGAGUCCAUGCAUACUCAUUUACGUUGAGGGCAUGAUGCCAUGUGAGCUUUUGCUCUUUAAGUUGAGGGCUUGAUGCCCUGGGAGUGUAUUUAUGCUCAAUACGUUGAGGGCUUGAUGUCCUGUGAGCUUUUGCUCUUUAAGUUGAGGGCUUGAUGCCCUGAGAGUGUAUUUUUGCUCAAUAUGUUGGGGGCUUGAUGCCCUGAAUUGGUACCACAUGCAUGAUUAAGAAGUUGAAGUUGCAUAUGUUGAGUUUAAGUUGUAGAAGUCGCAUUGUCGUUGUCGUUAAGUUGUCAUUUGUCAAUGAGUUGUUAAUAAAGAACUAAGCGAAGUAUUAAUAUUUAUUAAUCGUUGUUGUUUAUGUCGUUAUGAGAUGAUGUUUAUGAUGUUGUUAUUUAUGUCGUUAUGAGAUGAUGUUUAUGAUGUGUUGUUUAUGUUGUUAUAAGAUGAUGUUUAUGAUGUGAUGAUUAUGUCGUUAUAUGAUGAUGUUUAUGAUCUGAUUAUUAUGUGCUAUAUGAUGUUGUAUAUAAUGUGAUGAAUAUGAAGUUAAUAAUGAUUAGAAGUUGGUUGAGUUAUUAAUGAAGUAUUAUAACAAGAGUUAAUGUUAUUAAUUGAUGAAGUUUAAGUUGUUAAAUGCUUUUGAUGAAUUAUAUGCUUAUUAUUAUUGAAUGUGAAAUCUCACCCCUUCUGCUUGGAAAUGUUGCCCUCACAAUUGGGUAACUUGCAGGUAAUCUAGAAUAGUUGUGGUCGUGAGUGGACUCUCUCACGUGUCAUCGUCUUAAGUGCUCUGAUACGUAACGGGAUGAGAAUUUUGUUGUUGCUCUUUGUUCCUUACGUAUUAUUUUAUGAAGUUUUAUGAACAUGUUGUUGGAAUAAUUUUAUGAGAUUUUACCUUGAGGCCUUUGUGUCAAGGUUGUUUUAAACGUUAAAAUAAUUUCCGCUACAAUAAGAUUUAAUUUGAUGAUUGAGAUAAUUAGUAAUUUUACUAUAUUCAGAUUUGAAAGAAGUGUAACAUCCAGUUUUUAGUUGUUUACUCUGAUAUAAGUGAAAUUUUUCAAGUUGGGAAAACGGGGUGUUACAAUAAUCAUAGUUGGUGGGUUGCGCUGAUGCUGCUAUAUAUUCAGAAAUUAGGGUUAGUGUGUCAUUUAUACUUAUAAUAACUGAUAGACUUUUAGCAGGUGUACUGAAACUAUUGAAGUAAUACAAUUAAGUUCUUUUCCAUGAGAACCGUGUUAAUCUCAAGUAAACAAUAGCAUUAUGAAACAGGAUGUGUAAAGUUAUAUUAGUGCCCGAGGCAGCAGGUGCAUAAAAAUUAAAGGCUAAAAUAUGGUUUUGGUCCCUCAAAUAUGCCUCGUUUUGGUUUUAGUCACUGUAAAUUUUUUUUGUUGUUUUUGGUCCCUGCAAAUAUGCCUCAUUUUGAUUUUGGUCCCUGGCUCCACUUUUGUGAUGAUUUGCACACGUGGCACAUGAUGACUGAACCCAUUUAUUAGAGAAAUAGUCCCUGCAAAAUCUUUUGAUUUUACAAGGACCAAAAACAACAAAUUUUUUUUACAGGGACUAAAACCAAAAUGAGGCAUAUUUGCAGGGACCAAAACCAUAUUUUAGCCAAAAUUAAAUAACAGAAAAUAAAGAUUGUUUGGAAAAGUAAUGGAGAGAGAUGAGACUAGGUCUUUCGAAUCAUUUGAUUUUCCCUAAUUGGUACACUGCACCUAUUUCUCAUGAAUAUUUCUCUAGUUUUACGAUGAUUAACUAAAAUAGCCCUAAUCAAUCCAUUGACUUAGGAUUCUCUUCUCAUAUUACAAUCCCUAAUUCCUUAGGUGAUCUAAUAUACUUUAUAGGUUUGAAGAACAUUAACCUAAUAUCACAAAUACUUGAUUGAGGUGUAUUGUUUUGAAAAAUGUGAAAAAGAUCGUUUUUGUAAAAUGAUACGAACUUGGCGUAAUUUUGUGAUUUCUCGGAAUUGGCCUAGGAUACUUGUAUGCCUAAGCUACUAUGGAUUAACCAUUUUAUAAGUAAAAGUUUAUUUCUUUAUUGACAUCAAUUAAAUA